AAUGAACGCUGGCGGCGCGCCUAAUACAUGCAAGUCGAGCGAGAAGACGUAGCAAUACGUUUGUAAAGCGGCGAACGGGUGAGGAAUACAUGGGUAACCUACCCUCGAGUGGGGAAUAACUAGCCGAAAGGUUAGCUAAUACCGCGUACGCUUCUUGGACUUCGGUUCAGGGAGGAAAGCGAUACCGUGGGUAUCGCGCUCUUGGAUGGGCUCAUGUCCUAUCAGCUUGUUGGUGAGGAACGGCUCACCAAGGCUUCGACGGGUAGCUGGUCUGAGAGGACGAUCAGCCACACUGGCACUGCGACACGGGCCAGACUCCUACGGGAGCAGCAGUAAGGAAUAUUGCGCAAUGGGCGAAAGCCUGACGCAGCGACGCCGCGUGGGGGAGUGAAGGGUCUUCGGAUUGUAAACCCC
rnacentral:rRNA from 1 species